ACAUGACGCGCCGGAGUUCACGAGUCCUCCAGGUGCUGCCAGCCUCUCCGCAGUCAUGUCCGCCGGGGGCUGCUGUGCCGAGGUCUACAGCUCUGUGUUUGACUACAACACCCCGCGUAUAGCGCUUAUCAAGAGCCGCAAGGUCGGACUGCUGAACAGAGUCAUCCAGCUGGCUAUCCUCGCCUAUGUCAUUGGAUGGGUUUUUGUCUGGGAGAAAGGAUACCAGGACUUUGACACUGUAGUUAGCUCUGUAACAUUGAAAGUGAAAGGAGUUGCAGCGACAGACACGGAGGAUCUUGGAUUCAGGAUCUGGGACGUGGCUGAUUACAUUAUACCUGCUCAGGAAGAGAAUGCCUUUUUCGUGAUGACAAAUCUAAUUCUAACGCCAAAUCAAACACAAGGCAAGUGUGCAGAGCUACCGGACAGUUCUACAAUAUGCAUUUCCAAUCUUAACUGUACCCCGGGUUACGUAGGAACACACAGCAAUGGAGUACAGACUGGACGCUGUGUGCGUUACAAUGAAUCAGUAAAAACAUGUGAAGUAAAGGCAUGGUGUCCAGUAGAAAAUGACACGGCUGUUCCCAUGCCUGCUUUUCUGGGGGCUGCUGAAAAUUUCACUGUGCUUAUAAAGAAUAACAUCUGGUACCCCAAAUUCAAUUUCACCAAGAGAAACAUCUUAUCUAAUAUCAGUGCAGAAUAUUUGAAAACCUGUGUGUAUGAUCCGGUGAAACAUCCAUUCUGUCCUAUAUUCCGUCUGGGCAGCAUAGUGGAGGAGGCUGGAGAAUCUUUCCAAGAUAUGGCUGUAUUGGGUGGAGUUAUGGGAAUUCAGAUUAGCUGGAACUGUGACUUGGACAAGAAGCAUACAUACUGCGUUCCAAAGUACUCAUUUCGACGUUUGGACAAUAGGGAAUUGGAUCACAAUGUUUCUCCCGGAUAUAAUUUCAGGUCUGCCAAAUAUUACAAGGAUUCCAACAAUGUGGAAUCAAGGACUCUAAUGAAAAUCUAUGGCAUUCGCUUUGAUAUCCUGAUUUUCGGAACUGCAGGGAAGUUUGACAUAAUUCCAACUAUGAUUAACAUUGGAUCUGGUGUUGCAUUGCUUGGAGUGGCCACGGUGCUAUGUGACAUCAUUGUAUUUCAUUUCUUUAAGAAAAGGUAUUAUUACAGAGAAAAGAAAUAUAAACAUGUGGAAGAUUAUGAGGAAUUGGGUAAUAAUGGAUCACAUGGAUCAAUCCCUUAACCUAAGGAAUAAUAAAAUAUAUUUAGUCAUUCAGAAAUAAAACAGAGAGAUGUCUUGUUCCAGUACUCAUACAUACAUGGAUUGGAUCACUGACUUUGGAAAUCUUCAACAAAACAUUCCAUAUCGACUGUCAUCUUGAUUCCUUAUAGGGAAAGGAAGGUGAUGCUGCUAUCAUGUUGUGUACACAAGAGCCUAUGAAUGUAAUUCAUGUAAAAAAGGGAUAUUUGUCUUAUGAAUGCCUUCUUUUUGGACUUUAAGUCCAUUGCACAUCUAAUUUUUAUGUAGGUCUGAAAGUUCAAGGGCUAUUGAAUAUAAGAGUAGUAACUAUGCAAACCAUUUUGAGACCUGCUAAUAAUGGAUUUUAAAGCCAAACUGGUCACAUCAUUUUGCGCAUUCUGCUGCUUACAUGUUUUUUGGUCUUAAUCCCACCCCCCCACCCCUUUUGAAAACUUUUGUAGAUCCUAUGGAAAUGUCACAUAAUUAUAUUAAAGGAACACUAUUUAUAAAAAGUAAAUCUUAAAUGUAUAAUUAUGUUGAAAGAAGCUGCUAUAAAGGUCUUGUUUGUUUUUUGAAUGCAGUUCCAAUGUUCACUGGAUAUCUAUGUAAACUGUUUUCAUUAUAGCGGUAUAAUAGAAGCAGUUUUACAAACAUCUUUAAGAAUUGCUGAUAUAAAGGUUCUCCAUUGAUUUAUAUGCAUUACAGUGUGGUCCUUGGAAUUGCCUCUGUGAAACAUUUGUAUUAAGAGUAUUUCCACAUUUAUUGUCUGUUUCUGUUAAGUCCCAUGAUGUAUAGAAAAACGAGUCAGUCCUAAAGAGAGCAGCUGCCUGUGGACCAGUUUCCCGUCCUAGCGAUUAGUGAUUGUCCCUGCAUUUGGACACCCGUCAAUCUAACAUUUAUCACCUGUACAGUGGAUUCAUGAUAAACGUAUGUGGCUGGAAUACCCCCGUGGUCUUUCUGAAUUAUUAAUUUCUCUUUAUGAUCAUAUAUAGACACCAUUUUCAAUGUUAAUGCUCAUGAGGGUACAAAGACUGUACAA